rnacentral:lncRNA from 1 species
NNNNNNNNNNNNNNNNNNNNNNNNNNNNNNNGGGGGGAGCGGGGGACGUGAAGGUAUGGAGACAGCGACAGAGGGACACCGGGACUCGGGGACAUGGACAUGGGGUUGGGGACACAGGGACUGGGUGGUGGGGACAGGGCCAUGGGGACAUGGGGACACAGAGGCCACGUGCAGAGGGACACAGCACGGUACGGGGACACACAGGGACGGGUGUGGGACGUGGGGACAGGCAGGGACAGGGGCACAGCGUGGGACACAGGGACACGGAGGGGGACAUGGACGCUGUGCAUGGCCCUCCGUCCCCCCGUGUCCUCCUGCCGCCCACUGCCCUCAGCACACGUCCUCUGUGUGUGUGUUCCCAUGUGUGACAUGGCGCGGCUUCGUAUGGCAUUGCAUGGCAUGGCAUGGCAUGGCUUCAUAUGUCGUUGCAUGACGUUGCAUGACAUUGCUUGGUACUGCAUGUCACUGCAUGGCAUCGCACGGCACUGCGUGGCAUUGCACUGCGUGGCACAGCUUCACACAUCGCACAGCGUUGCAUGAUGUUGUGUGGUGUUCUGUAGCUCUGCAGUUUUGCAUGGCGUUGCACAGUUCCGUGCAGCAUUGCACACCACGACCCAGCUGUGCACGCCUCCACCGUGGCCGUCACACGCUUUUGCACAGCGUGGCACGCCUGUGCACACCCCCAGCCCCUGGGGCAUGGCGGGACUUGGGGGGGGGGUGUUGUGCUGGGGCCCUGCUGCUGCAGCACAGAACAAAGCCCCCAUUGAGCACGGGCGUUUCCACCCCAAUUUUUUUCCAUGAUCACAUUCCCCCCCCCUCACCCCCCGCCUGGGGAAGGGGGGGGCAGGGAGGGGCACCACAUGCAUGCCUCACACACGCGUGUGCACACGGCUGCGGGAAGCAAUGCACACGCUUGCACAGGGCUGGUGCUCUCCUUGCACAUGUGCACACAUGUGCGCCCACGUUGGCAUGGACACAGCUGUAUGGGGGUGUUCCGUGUCCCCCCAUGCCCCCUGUGCCCCCCCACUCCUAUGGCCCCCGUGUCCCCACUUAUCGCCCCACGGCCCCUACACCUCCACUUUUCUCAUGUCCCCCCCGUCCCUCUACAUGCCUCAUGUCCCCUGUGUGCCCCAUGUCCCAUGUCCCCCAUAUCCCCAGUGUCCCCAGGUCCCAAUCUCCUGUGACCCCAGUACACCUGAAGUCCCCACAUCUCUCCAUAUCCCCCCAUGUCCCCCCAUGUACACCCGGGUCCCUGUGUCCCCCCGUCUCCAUCACCCCACACUCUGUUGUCCCCACGUCCCACUCCCCCCUUCCAGGGGCAACCCGUGGGUGGGGGUCACAUGAGGACAAUGUGAAGGGGGUGGGGGGGAUGGGGUGGGGACAGCAGCCUCCCUCUCCUGUCCGCGUGCACGCGUGGGCACACCCACGUGAACACCGCCCCCCCCCGGCUGAGCCCCCCCCACUGAGCCGGCUUUGGGCUAUAAAUACAUAAAUACCGGAGGGGGGGGCGGCACCAUGGGGCUGGCGUGGCAUGGGCAGCGGCUGCACAACCCCCCCUGUCCCCUGUGUGCCCCCCCGGGGGUCC